GCUGGGCAUGGUGGCGCAUACCUGUAAUCCCCAUGGCUCAGGAGGCUGAGGCAGGAGGAUCACGAGUUCAACACCAGCCUCAGCAACUUAGCAAGGCCUUAAGCAACUCAGUGAGACCCUGUCUCUA
rnacentral:sRNA from 1 species